GCUUCUGUAGUUUAAUGGUAAAAUGCGGGCUUCCCAUGCCCGAGCUAUGGGUUCGAUUCCCGUCAGUUGCA